rnacentral:rRNA from 1 species
AUUGAACGCUGGCGGCAGGCCUAACACAUGCAAGUCGAACGAGUGGCGGAAGGGUGAGUAAUGUCUGGGAAACUGCCUGAUGGAGGGGGAUAACUACUGGAAACGGUAUCUAAUACCGCAUACCAUCAGAUGUGCCCAGAUGGGAUUAGCUAGUUGGUGGGGUAACGGCUAACCAGGGCGACGAUCCCUAGCUGGUCUGAGAGGAUGACGAGCCACACUGGAACUGAGACACGGUCCAGACUCCUACGGGAGGAAGAUGUGGGGAAUAUUGCACAGUGGGCGCAAGCCUGAUGCAGCCAGGCCGCGUGUAUGAAGAGGGCCUUCGGGUUGUAAAGUACUUUCAGCGGGGAGACGUUACCCGCAUAGGAAGCACCGGCUAACUCCGUGCCAGCAGCCGCGGUAAUAC